CCUCACCCCAGGACUCGGGCUGCUCACAGCGGGGUUUGUACAACUCUGCUGACGUCCCUUGAGAAGGAGCCCUGCAGACCCCACUGCAGCUCUGGGUGGAAUACCACAGCAGAGUUAACAUCGCCUCUCUUCUCAACAAGGCUUUUAAUGUAGCCCAAGAGCGUAGCCGAAGUGGAUUUCUGACAGACACUUUCUGGAAAAGUCAUAUGAAGAUGGAUGGUCAAGAUGUGGACAAGCAGGGGCUGACGGGCACCGAAGAGUAGUUUCCACAGGAAGAUUUCAAUGAAAGUGAGACUCACGGAGCCCGAGAGUUAAGAAUAAGACUGAAGAUCAAAGAAAGGUCGUGAAUUUCCAGGUUGAGAAGAUGGUGGAAGAUGCAUCUGAGUACAGAGAAGCAAAAGUGAGCUCACAGGACUGGGCGGAAAGAGGAGCCUGUGGGAGGCGGGCUGAGUGUGGCUUCUCCAGGCUGAGCUCUGCCAAUUGACGUCAGCUGCCGCGAGCCUCCCCCAGACACGCCGGGACCAGCUGGGCCGCCCACCUGUGCAGGCCGUGGGCUUGGCGUGAAGACAGUGGGGUACGGCCGUGCAGAGAGAACAGACUCUUAGAAUCCCAGGCUGCUUUUAGCAGAAGCCCCGGAGAGAAAAAUUCCUUGGAGAAAGGAUAUUCUCUCAAAUGCCUUUUCAGUUACAUCAAUCAAACAGUUCUUAAUUUCCAACCAGAUUUGAACCGAGGAAUACAAUCUAGGAGUGAAAACCUUUUGAAAACAAAUCGUUUUGUUAAGUUCACAUUUUAGGGCUCAACCUCGAGACCUUCCAUUAUGGGCAUGAGAAUGCUUUAAAAACCGGGGUCACGUUUGGACAGAUGACCAGUCAGGGAGUCCCCAGGUCAGCCGUUGAUGGAGUGAAGCAAAUUGCUGGGCACAAACGUGGAGCAGGCACCCAGGGCACACCCAGGAGCAAAGCGGACAGACCUGCCCUCGUGGGGUGGGAAGUCUAGUGGAGGAGACAGAAACAACGGUAGCAUCGAUAAGUGAACCGCUUCCUAUGCUUGGAGACAGAGACGCUGUGAAGAAGCGGAGCGGAGUCAGGGGUUUGGAAGAAGUGUGGGGGAGCCGUGAUU